GAGAAACAGAAAACAUGAACACCUAUCAAUUCGUCUCACACCACAUCCGGUGACAGAGAAACAGACUGCAGGAGGUCCUUGCCUGAGGGAGCCCUGCCCAACUCAGAUCACCGUGGUCACCGGUGUGGCAGAGAGGCUCUGGGAGUCGGGAUGUUCACCAGAAGGAGGCCCAAGGACUGAUUGAGAUUCCAUUGAUCCUGAAGGCAGUGGCGAGCUGCUUUUCAACAGAAGAGUAAAGUGCUCAGACUGGGGAACAGCUCUGACCCCAAAUCAUCAUCCACUUAUUCAUGAGGCAGAAACAGAAUAUUAGUCUCUGCACGGUUUCCUGGGCCAGCUUCCAGUUGGUAAGUAUCCUGAACAGGGCGCAGGAGGGCUGUUCACGCGAUGGCCCUGAAGAAGAGCCUGCCCACGAUGCCUCUGUUACCGAAACCGAAGUCCAAGCUGGAGUUAUGCUGAGUGUAGGAUGUGAAAACAUGGAUCAUGGCCUUGAUUAGAAAGUCCUAAAACACCAACUAACUCGGAACCAAAACUAGAACAAACAGUUCUCUUUUGCUGAAGUAUCUGUGUGUGUGUGUGUGUGUGUGUGUGUGUGUGUGUGUGUGUUUUCCCAGAACCUGGAACCAAACUAAAGUUAUUUGAUUUGGUGAUCUCUUUGCGCAUUUUGUUUUAGUUCAAGGAAUUUUUAAAAUGUGAAUGCUGAGACACUUUGAAGACUGUCAUGACUAUGGCCUUUGUGAGGGGCGACCUCUUGUGAUAUCCCUGUUGGAAGUUUACUUCCUAGAACAUCUGGGAAUAGGAUUACUGCUGAUGCAAGAUGAUAACAUGUAAAGGAGAGGCACACGCCCCAGCUUCAAAAAGACAUCUGAAACACCAGUGAUGACCACCGUUACCCCAUCUGCGGGCUCCAGGCACGGCACAGCCCUGCAAGGCACGCCACCUCUGAGAGGACUGCUUGUUUGGGGACAAGCUGCGGAAUGUUUUCCAUGACCCAGGACUCACCGUCUGGAUGGGAUGAGAUACCCGGAGGAGCAGGCACCGGGGAGAGGGGAGGAGAUUCCUGGCCUCCCCCUGGGAAGAUGGUAACUACCACAGCCCUGCCCAGGGAGGAGGCAUUGCACACAGAGGGGUGGCAAGUUAUCAGUGACAAGAGAAGGAAAAGAAAUACAAUUUCUAGGAAAUUUGCCUUUUGGGGCUGACCUUUAAGAAAAACUGAGGGAGAAAUCUCCAAAGUCAACAUGAGAGCGAAGCCACUAGAUGUCACCACAGCCUGAACUCUGGUCAUUGAGUCCCCAGAUGGAGGAGAGAGCACAUCAGCGUCCCUCGACAGACAUGGAAAAGCUGGCUAAGACAUGCACAUGGACCCAAGGCACUGCGGAAUUCCAUUUUUCCUACAGUUAAUAUUUAUGGCACUUUUAAAAAUGCAGUAGCUACGGUUUAAGACUGAUCCGUUGACAGAGACAUGUGACACUUGAAACUGUCCCUCUUAAUGUGGAUACUAUUCACAUGUUACUGGGCUAAGCAUCCAUGCAAGACUUGAGGACCUUCUGCAGGCGCAGCCUGUCCCCUGCACCCUGCUCUAUCAGAUCCCACCUCGCAAGGUGCAGGCUGCAUUCUCUCAGGACAGCCUGGUCUGCUCUAUCCCCUAGGAACCAUCUCGCCUUGGCUCCUGUCAGAAGCUGCCCUUUCCCUUCAGGUUGGUGUAGAGUGGUUGAGGCAUGCAGAGAUCCAGGUUUUGUCCUAAGAAACAGAAGACAGAGUGCCUUCCACAAAGUGCCUUUUCCUGCCCAGGGCCGCGUUAUCUCGGCAUCAUUCCCUGGGGCCGUCGGCACUCAGCUCUGCAAUGUUUCUCUCAGCCUACCUCUAUGAAUUGCACACAUAUGCAUUCCUGAGUGAAUAUGCAUGCAGCAGUUCCCAAUUCUAAAACCUUCUAAAGGAAACUCUUUUCCCUUAAGAUAAAUAUUAACCUGUGCUCACGUUCUUAAGUUUUGUGAUGUACAAUAACUAAAAAUACUCCAUAAACAAGCUUGCAUCACUGUUGUUGCUGGGUCCUCAGUGGGAACAGAACUGGCCCACCUCCCUGCUGCAGUACAGGGCGAUGGUCCUCCUGGGCCAGCAAUACCUGAACGCCGGCUGCAUGCAAGCAGGAUGGGAGAGCAUGGGGUCCCAAAGUCCACAUCUCUUGUACCACUGUGGGCCAAGCAUCUGCCCCUGUGGGAUCCCAGGAGCCCGUGACGUGAUUAAAGUGCUCGGUUAUUUCAUCCUAGGGGUUCAAUUCAAGGGCCCAAAUGCCAGACUGACUAAACUUAAAUCCGGGCUCUGCCCUAUGUCAGGUACAUCACCAUGGGCAAGUAAUUGAACCUCUCUCACCAGAUUUCUGACCUGUACAGCAGGAAUAAUAGACCCACUACUCGUUGUGACAAGCAUGUGUAACAGUUGCUGGUGUGUAUUGCAAUUGCUCAAUGGCUGUUAGUGUAAGUCAUUAUUUAGAUCACAGCUAAUAACGAGAAGAGUUGCCUCAAUGUGUCACUUGCUGAACCUACAUUUCCUUAUGAAGACAGCCCUGUCAAUGAGAAUAUCUGCCAUCUUAAAGUUCCAUGUUGGUAACUCUGCCGCUCUCCUUUGGCAGGUGCUUUUUCAUUUCUCAGCCCUUUUAAAUCUAAAAUUCUGGUUCCCAAUUCUUCAUACCUAUCUUGAGCCAUACAAUAACUCUAUGAAAUAAAGUUUUCUUCUUAUAGAUGAGCAGAUUCAAUGUAACGACACCAAAAAGUGUUUUCUCCAACAUCCCCACUGCCCUUCCACCUGAAAUGAUCCGACAGAACUAAACUGUGCUCCUGGUUUUUUACCUGGCACAUCAGCCCCUUUGCAAGUUGACCCCAACUCGCUUUCCAACCUGACCCUCUGGUCUGGUCCCCUCUUCCUCAUCUCCAUACCUUUGACCAUGCUCUGUCCCUGGCCUUGGAAUAUCCUUUCCCUUCUCCCCAAAAGGCCAAAUCCCACUUGGCUGCAAGUCCCAGCUGAAAUCUCAUCUGUUCUGCAAAGCUUCCUUGGCCAGGGCAAUGCUGGCUUCAGGGAAGCCAUGUGCCAUGCUGGCUACCUAGCUUGUAUGUCUCUUUCCAGAUCCUAUUUGGAAACUCGUAGGUAACUAAUUAUGUCAUGGGGUUUCCCUGUCACUCUCUGAAUGGGGCGCUUAGUUUGUGUUUCUUUAGAAGUCUGAGUCAAGUUAAUAAAUACACGUCACUGCUUCCUCCUGGACUCGCUUCUUAAGAAAGUUCACAAUAAGGAGGAAGUAAGGAUAUACUUUAUGGUAAGAGGAAGGUAACUCAAUAUUGCCAGGUUUGAUUUUUUUAAGAGAUCUUGGCCAACAUGGUAUUCUCUGAGUCUCAGCAGGAGGGAAGAUUUUAGCCACAUGAUUCCCUAGAGCUUAGAGGU